CCUACGGGUGGCAGCAGUGGGGGAUAUUGCACAAUGGGGGAAACCCUGAUGCAGCGACGCCGCGUGUGGGAAGACGGUCCUCUGGAUUGUAAACCACUGUCCCCAGGGACGAAGCUGACGGUACCUGGGGAGGAAGCUCCGGCUAACUACGUGCCAGCAGCCGCGGUAAUACGUAGGGAGCAAGCGUUGUCCGGAAUUACUGGGUGUACAGGGAGCGUAGGCAGGAUGGCAAGUUGGGUGUUAAAUCUCCCGGCUCAACUGGUAGUCGCACUCAAAACUGGUAUUCUUGAGUGAAGUAGAGGCAGGCGGAAUUCCAAGUGUAGCGGUGAAAUGCGUAGAGAUUAGGAGGAACACCAGUGGCGAAGGCGGCCUGCUGGGCUUUUACUGACGCUGAGGCUCGAAAGUGUGGGGAGCAAACAGGAUUAGAUACCCGAGUAGUC
rnacentral:rRNA from 1 species